UGGAACAUCUAAAAAAAAAUUACCAUUCCAUCGGCCUGGCUAGCUGUAAAUUUAGACCAUCUGUCAGAAAUCUAGACCGUCUCGGGCGGUUGGACAGGCCUUAUUUCACACACUGCAAAUGGGUUGAAGCGAAUACAUUUUAUGCACCAUUCCUGUGUAUUAUAUCCUGUCAGGUGCUUCACAUGCUCAAUAGUUAUCAGUACUCCUGGAAGUAACCAGUAACUUUCAUGUCCAGUUUCUCAUUUGUUUACACACAUUGACGUAAUUAUUAUUAUAUACUGAGGGAAACUAAUAAGGGGACAUAUGAAAGUACAAAUGUUAUAUCAUUCUUUUCGAAGGUUUCCUCACAAGCUUUGUUUUGCACUAAGGUGUGAAAAUAUGAAAACAAAUAAAGACACUCUGCGAUGAAGUGGUGCACCCAUAUUUUCUAUCAUUAUUAAUAUUUAUCCAACCAGAACUGAUUUCCUUUGGUUUAUAGAUCGACUGGGUGUGUUAACAGUUACAAUGUGUACUUGUUUUGAAAUAUACACUUUAUGAAGACAUGAUUGCCUGUAAUAUGUAUCUGUGAAAGAGCAUUCACUCAUGGGUUAAUAAUUUGAGGAAGGUUGAUAAAUGUUUGUCUCAUCUGUGUCAAAAUGUCAUUUAUAAAAUGACCUAGCAAUGAGUUCUCCAAAUAAGCAUUGUCAUGUAAACCUGCAAAAACUUAUUAAUGUAUUUGAUGAAUAUUCAAUGAGUUGUUGAUAUAAAUUUGGAUACAAAUAAUGAUUGCAGGGAUGCCAACCUCUAUGAUUUUAUUGUAGUCCCUACACAUUUUAGCCUCAAACUACGCCAAUACGACUGCACUAGAAAUUCUACGAAUUGAAGAAACUUCAUUAAAAAUCGGAUGUAUAGACCAUAACAUAUAUUUUCGUCGAUUAAAUACAUUUUCGCCAAAAAGAGACAAGAACAAGAAAUGUAAAGAUGAUAAUUUGGAAAUCUGCUGUUGGAGGUAUGUGAAAUGAAAGCUUCACUCUUGAUUAGUGCCAUAUUAUCUUUCUCAGAAUCCAUCAUGAUUUUAAGUAUUUAGCUGUCUACUAGUGUUAUGACCAAACUACUAAUUUGGAUCCUUGAAACUAAUAUUAUUAGGGGUUGGCAUCUCUGUGAUUGGUGUGAUGACAGCCAAUGCCAUGUUUGUAGCUACAAGUCUGUGCGGAAUAAGUUUACUUUUUUCUUUCUUAAAUGUUCUUAAAUAAAUUUGACAAGAUGUUUAGUAUCUUAUAAACAACUGUGGAGAUGCAGCUGAUUGAUGAUGCUAUUUAUUAGAAUGAGUAAUAAACUAGAAUAAUUGACAGCAUAAAUAAUAGAGCAUAUCUGGAAUAUAGUAUAUUUAUUGUGCAGUUUGUACAUGCAUUGUAUGAUAUAUAUUUCCUGUGUAUAUGCUCUGUAAUUAUUGUACAGUGUACAGACAUUGUAAAUAAAUGACAUUCUUGAACUGUUC